rnacentral:tRNA from 2 species
CAAGGGUUAGUUUAUUAAAAUACCGUUUUUGGAGAUCGGAGAAGAAAGAAGAUUUUAUCCUUGA